rnacentral:snRNA from 1 species
UUAAGCGAGUUUACUUGACUUGAAUAUAAUAAAUUCGAAAUUAGUAUGGCCCUUGCGCAAGGAUGACACGCGGUUGACGUGAAGCGUUCCUUUUUCGU